rnacentral:rRNA from 1 species
CGGAGGUGCAAGCGUUAUCCGGAUUCACUGGUUAAGGUGUGUAGGCGGUAUUAAGUCAGUGGUGAAUCUCCGAGCUCAACUCGGAACUGCCAUUGAUACUAUUAUCUUGAAUAUUGUUGAGGUAGCGGAAUAUGUCAUGUAGCGGUGAAAUGCUUAGAUAUGACAUAGAACACCGAUUGCGAAGGCAGCUUGCUAAACAAUUAUUGACGCUGAGGCACGAAAGCGUGGGAUCAAACAGGAUU